rnacentral:misc_RNA from 1 species
CCAGCAGCACUCCCAAGGAGCCAGGGUAGAAAUAGACUCCAUUUUCUUGACAAUUGAAGGUCCCAUUUCAAAAUUGACAGAGAGAGAGAACGUAUAGGGAUAAAACAACAAACACAUGAAGGGCUUAAUAGUUGCAAAGAAUCAACUCCUUGAGAAAGUCCCCGGAGAUGAGUAGGAGCAGAGACCAAUAAAACAGCAGUAGCUUGGGAGUGUUUUAAGGAUGUAUGAUUCUUGGG